rnacentral:rRNA from 1 species
GACGAACGCUGGCGGCGUGCCUAAUGCAUGCAAGUCGCACGCAUCCGCUUCGGCGGGUGAGUGGCGCACGGCAGAGUAACACGUGGGAACCCGCCCCCCGGUGGGGGAUAACGCGACGAAAGUUGCGCUAAUCCCGCAUACGUCCUUCGGGAGAAAGCGCUGCGCGCGCCGGGGGAGGGGCCUGCGGCCCAUCAGGUCGUUGGUGGGGUAAUGGCCUACCAAGCCGAUGACGGGUAGCUGGUCUGGGAGGAUGACCAGCCAGACUGGGACUGAGACACGGCCCAGACUCCUACGGGAGGCAGCAGCAAGGAAUUUUCGGCAAUGGGCGCAAGCCUGACCGAGCAACGCCGCGUGCGGGAUGACGGCCUUCGGGUUGUAAACCGCUUUUCGGGGGGACGACCCUGACGGUACCCCCGGAAUCAGCCCCGGCUAACUCUGUGCCAGCAGCCGCGGUAAGACAGAGGGGGCAAGCGUUGUCCGGAGUCACUGGGCGUAAAGCGCGCGCAGGCGGCAACCUAAGUGUCGUGUGAAAGCCCCCGGCUCAAC